AGUGAACGCUGGCGGUAGGCCUAACACAUGCAAGUCGAACGGCAGCACAGUAAGAGCUUGCUCUUACGGGUGGCGAGUGGCGGACGGGUGAGGAAUACAUCGGAAUCUACUUUUUCGUGGGGGAUAACGUAGGGAAACUUACGCUAAUACCGCAUACGACCUACGGGUGAAAGCAGGGGAUCUUCGGACCUUGCGCGAUUGAAUGAGCCGAUGUCGGAUUAGCUAGUUGGCGGGGUAAAGGCCCACCAAGGCGACGAUCCGUAGCUGGUCUGAGAGGAUGAUCAGCCACACUGGAACUGAGACACGGUCCAGCCUCCUACGGGAGGCAGCAGUGGGGAAUAUUGGACAGUGGGCGCAAGCCUGAUCCAGCCAUACCGCGUGGGUGAAGAAGGCCUUCGGGUUGUAAAGCCCUUUUGUUGGGAAAGAAAAGCAGCAGGUUAAUACCCCGCUGUUCUGACGGUACCCAAAGAAUAAGCACCGGCUAACUUCGU
rnacentral:rRNA from 1 species